rnacentral:lncRNA from 1 species
CUUUCCUUUGUAAUUUCAGGGCUUAAGCACUAUUAUCCUAAUCCAAGUUCACAGUCCUGUUGUUGUCGAGGAGGGUUCAAAAUCAUUUGGAGAUAAUCAAGCUCAGACAGCUUAGGAUAGGUGAGAAGAACAUAGAGGAAGCAGGGAGAAGGCUGAGAAGCAAGCAGGAGUGAGCGCUAAGUGUUUUGUUUCCAGUUAGCUGUUCGCUGUCUUUUCCAUUUAACCUGGGCACUGCCCUAGCCUCAUCUUCAGCCUUCAGUGAUCUAUAAUAGCAUUUCCUUCUGUCUCCUCUCAGUCUCUCUUCUGCCUUCCUUCCCUCCUUUACUGUAUUAGCAACAAGCUGUCCAUGGGUGGGGGCUGUGUGUUAGCCUGUACGUAGCACAUGGGACUUUCCACAUAGUAGAUAUUCAGUUACAUUUUGAACUAAUUAUAUAACAAACUUGCCCUUUGAAAGACUAAGUUAUAGUUAAAAACCAAGAUUUGUAGGAGAAAAAGAAAUUAUUGUUCCCUUCAGUUUGAAAAAUCAUCGAUAUUUGAAACUGGGAUACGCUUGGUAGCUUUUUUGUUUUAACACAAAGUAAACCUGUGAAGUAG